ACGAACCCAGAUUGUUCAUUUUAAUUACAGCAGAAACUAAUAAUCAUCCUUUACAUGAACAACACAUAAAAUCCCCAAAAUUGUCUCCCAACGUUCCUUGUAGUUCUGGCAACUUUCAUUACAACAAUAUCACCAUAGUGACAAAUAGGGGUUAUCCCAACUCCCCUCGAAACAACACCAUGUGAGGAAUGCGAAAAUCC
rnacentral:lncRNA from 1 species